rnacentral:lncRNA from 1 species
UCCUAACCCUCAGGUCAGAUGGCUCAUAACCAACCAUGUGGAACCCCAAUGGGAAAUCCAAGACCAACCACACAGACACAGAAUUAAAAAUAAAAAUAGUUGUGCUUUCUGCUUACGGGUGAAGAUACAAGCUCUCAGCUAUUGCUCCAGAACCUGCCUGCUUACCUGCUGGACUCCAACACUCUAAAAUGGUUCUCAGGGAAAGUUUCCUGAUUUUUGUUUUAGCUAAUAGAAGAGAAACCAUACUACCCUUCAUCAGGAACCCUGAAGAAGUAAUGUGCCUAGAGGGGAAACAUGGCUGUAUCCGAGGCAGGAAGCCAGUGGGCUUCCAGAACACGAGUCAAGGGUGCUGGAAAGAAGACAGACAAAUGUAAGCAACCCAACAAUGCCUACCAUGAAAGCGACAAGAAGAGCAUCCCUAAAAGUGGCACCAUUGCUAGAGAGGAGACCAUUGAGGCAAUCAAAGACGAUCUCUUCUGGAUGUGCUAAGAGAUGUAGGGACAGGGCUGGAGAGAUGGCUCAGUGGUUAAGAGCACUGACUGCUCUUCCAGAGGUCCUGAGUUCAAAUCCCAGCAACCACAUGGUGGCUCACAACCAUCUGUAAUGAGAUCUGAUGCCCUCUUCUGUGGCAGCUACAGUGUGCUCAUAGAAAAUAAAUAAAUAAAUCUUUUAAAAAAAAUGUAGGGACACAACAAAAACAGGGCAAGUCAUAAAGGAAUCAUUUUCUCUGGAGAAUUCAUAAUAAGACAACAUUGAAAAAUAAAAUUAAAAUCUUGUCCAGA